GACGAACGCUGGCGGCGUGCCUAACACAUGCAAGUCGAGCGGGGAGAGAUUUUCGGAUUUCUCUUUAGCGGCGGACGGGUGAGUAACACGUGGGUAACCUGCCUCAAAGAGGGGGAUAGCCUUCCGAAAGGAAGAUUAAUACCGCAUAAUAUCAGGAAGCUGCAUGGCAUUCUGAUUAAAGGAGCAAUCCGCUUUGAGAUGGACCCGCGGCGCAUUAGCUAGUUGGUGAGGUAACGGCCCACCAAGGCGACGAUGCGUAGCCGACCUGAGAGGGGGAUCGGCCACAUUGGAGCUGAGACACGGUCCAGACUCCUACGGGAGGCAGCAGGGGGGAAUAUUGCACAAUGGGGGAAACCCUGAUGCAGCAACGCCGCGUGAGUGAUGAAGGCCUUCGGGUCGUAAAGCUCUUUGAUCAGGGACGAUAAUGACGGUACCUGAAAAACAAGCCACGGCUAACUACGUGCCAGCAGCCGCGGUAAUAC
rnacentral:rRNA from 1 species